GCAAAUCGCUUCUCGCAAAUGGUA
rnacentral:siRNA from 1 species